rnacentral:lncRNA from 1 species
AUUGGUAAGUUUGUUUUAGCCCUCUACAUUUUGUCUUCAGAGCGCAAGACUACUUCAAUACAAGUCCUUAAUUUGUCCGACUGCACAUAGAUAUUACUGAUGUAGAAACAGAAUACUCUCUAUCGUUUAGUGAAAACAAGUAUUAAUGUCAGCAUAUUACAUUGUAAUUCUCCAUCUGAUCAUACAUCCUAGUUUGUUUUCCAGUGGUUAUCAGCAGCUUGCCUUCUCUCCCUUUUCUUUUUGAAGUACAGCAUGAUGAAAUGUGAGAAACAAUAAUAUCAUCAAAAAUCUUUUUCAAGCCUUGACAUCUUGUUUACUACUAUUACUGGAGUGGAAAGUGGGAAUUCUCAUAAAUUUCAAAGAUAGUAUCUACCGCAUUCAAAUCUUACUAAAUUACACUUUAUUUUAUAUCCAAAAAUAACGUAUGCUGAUUGAUUCAUGCAACUCUGAUUUAACACAGAGCAAUGUUAACAUUAAUAAGGCACAGUGAUUCUGAAUGACCUAUAUUAAUGUAGCCAGUUUAGUGCAGCAUUGUGCAAUUUAGCAGUCUCAAAAUACCCUACAAAUUAAGAGAGAAAAGCUUAUUUCUCAAAGCUAAACACAAGCAACAAAACAGAACCACAAGAAUAUUUCUGUGCACUGUUUUCCCUUUCCUUACUGUCCAAUGAUGCUGGAUAUCUGGUUAAAUGUGUUUGUCUUUCAGCUUCUAUAUUGAACAAAUUGAAGCAGAGGAAUCUCAACAUGAAGAUUAAUUUUUUUUGGUGGCUAUGAGCAGAACUCUUGUUUAUAGCUUUCCUGUUCUCAAGAAACUGGAUCAGUUCCACACUCCAGUGAUCCAGUACAAUGCAUGCCACAAGAAGAAAGAGGAAAAAAAGUGAAAAACUGAGUCUCAUUUGUGGUACGGAGAAGAGGCUAUCGCCCUAUUCAGGAUGAGCAAGCACAAAGUAUUAAUGUAACUGUAAAGCUAGAGCUCCCACUGAAAUAAAUUCAAAAAAAGAAAUUCAAAUACUUUUCUUCAUUUGCUUGUUCUUAUAGUGCACAUACUGUACAAGAGGUCAAAGGAUUUACUAUGGUAAAACAUAACACAAGAAUGAUCAGGUUGGACCAAGCUCUUCUAGAACACCAUGUCUUGUCUACGUGGCACCAACAUAAAAUUUAGUCUAAGCUUGGAGCCUCACUUAGAAAAAAAUAGUAAAAACUAGUUUCUUGUAUGUCAUCAUUCAAAUCGACCAAAGAUUAACUUCUUAGCUCCCCCAGUCCCACACAAGCCCCAUUGCAUUUAUGAUUACAUAUAUACAUCAGCAGAAUUCUAUGAAAAAAAAAAAAGUGUCUUGGUAUUGAUUAGCAUUUGCUUAGAUGUAGGUUCUUCUAAAGAAAUAAAAUUAGAAGUGAGAAGAAGAAAACUAUAAGAAGCCAGAAUUCACAGACCAUGUACUUUGGAGACAAAGGAUUUGACAGCACGAGUGCCAGAGGAACU